AUUGAACGCUGGCGGCAUGCCUUACACAUGCAAGUCGAACGGCAGCGCGGGGGCAACCCUGGCGGCGAGUGGCGAACGGGUGAGUAAUACAUCGGAACGUGUCCUGGAGUGGGGGAUAGCCCGGCGAAAGCCGGAUUAAUACCGCAUACGAUCUUGGGAUGAAAGCGGGGGACCGAAAGGCCUCGCGCUCAAGGGGCGGCCGAUGGCAGAUUAGCUAGUUGGUGGGGUAAAGGCCUACCAAGGCGACGAUCUGUAGCUGGUCUGAGAGGACGACCAGCCACACUGGGACUGAGACACGGCCCAGACUCCUACGGGAGGCAGCAGUGGGGAAUUUUGGACAAUGGGGGCAACCCUGAUCCAGCAAUGCCGCGUGUGUGAAGAAGGCCUUCGGGUUGUAAAGCACUUUUGUCCGGAAAGAAAACCUCCGUCCUAAUACGGUGGGGGGAUGACGGUACCGGAAGAAUAAGCACCGGCUAACUACGUGC
rnacentral:rRNA from 1 species